UACGUAGGGUGCGAGCGUUAAUCGGAAUUACUGGGCGUAAAGCGUGCGCAGGCGGUUCGUGAUGUCUGAUGUGAAAGCCCCGGGCUCAACCUGGGAAUUGCAUUGGAAACUAGCGGGCUGGAGUGUGGCAGAGGGGGGUGGAAUUCCACGUGUAGCAGUGAAAUGCGUAGAUAUCGUGAGGAAGACCAAUGGCGAAGGCAGCUCGCUGGGACGUUACUGACGCUGAGACGCGAAAGCGUGGGGAGCAAACAGG
rnacentral:rRNA from 1 species